rnacentral:ncRNA from 1 species
CUAGGCUAGCAGUGAUGCUAGACGAAGAUUGAUAAGAAGUCAGCAGAGGGCAUAGUACCUACAAUGUGGGGAAGGCC